rnacentral:lncRNA from 1 species
AUUUUGUGGCCAACUGACUUCAAUUAUAUGUAGAACCAUCCAAAAGUCUCCUCUCAGGGGAUUUCCAAACUGGAAAUAACCAACACAACUAGGUCAAGCAUCCAUCAUGCACCAUGUACACCACAGUGCACCACAGCUGAGACCAGUGUGGAUCCCACCAUCAGCAGCUUUUCCAAAGGACCCAGGCAAAAUGUUUCUUUUUGAGGCAGAGAAUUCUUCUAAAUGAUUGUUGGAACUUAGAAUUACUCAAGAUUAUUAUAACCGAGUGGCCAGAGGGAUAUGCUGCCAUUAUGUCCUUCAGCAUAAAGAACUGGUGACUUCUGUAAGUGUGGUGUUUCUGAGGGCAUCCUCUUCCACAUUUUUAGCGUAAUCUACCUCGACACACAGAUGCAAUGCUCACAGAGGCCAGAACGCUUCCCAGAAGCAGCCAAGAGUGAGCACUUUCUCAUGGUGUAAAAUAUUCUACCAAAACCUUAUUUCCAAUAGGUGGACAUUGAAGUGGACCUAAUUCGGUUUUCCUUUUAAAAGCCCCCACAAACAAAAGUAGUUUGAAACCUAUUUAAAAUGAAUAAAAAAUUGGUUUACUAAAUUACUGGUCUCCAGCACCAUUUUCUGUUUUCGGUUGUUUGGAUGCAGGUUAUUCUUUGUCUGUUUCUUCUCUUCCUCUUUUUCAUAGGUCCAGUUGAACCAUUUUCAUCAUGUGCAUCAUCACUAGCAAACUUUGUUUUCUUGUCCUGAAAUUGUACUUUUCCUUUACCAGACCCAGGCUGGGCAGCUUUACUACCCUUUCUUUUUCCUUUAAAUCUGCAACCUUUUGACUUCCAUUUGUUUAGGGAUUCUUGUUGGUCUUCUGUUAUUUUUUUAAGUGCUUCUUUUUCCAGCUCUCCUUCUAGUACUUCCCAAGUCACUUCUUUGCUCCUUAAUUGUAGGUUACCAUUAUUUGCAUCUUUGGCUUUACCCAAUGUUUCCUUGGCUUUUUCUUUAAAUAGAAUUAUCCCCUCUUUUGCUCCUCUGAUGAAGUCUAUCCAUUUUAUUUCACCAUGAUUUGAGAAGAGGAUGUGUAAAUCUUCUUUACAGGUCUGAUCAUCUAAAUCACCCAAAAAUUUCAGCAAGCAUCCAAUCUUUUCUUCUAGAGAUUUCAUUUCAGCAUCUUCUUCUUUUGUUUUGCUUCUUGCUCUUGUUUAGCUCUUAAUUUAGCUUCCACUUUAUUUUGUUUUCUUUCUUCAUUUUUUUUUUUUUUUUUGGCAAAGCAAUCGUUCUUGAAAAGUAUUAGCAGGUCUGUGUCUUUGUACUUCUGGCCAGGGGUCUCUACAAACUUCUUAGCAGAUUCAAUGCUACCAAACACAACAAAAAUUGAUCCCUUAAAUGCUUUAUGCAAUAUUCUUCUCAUCUGAAUAUUUAGUACUUGACCUUUAUCUUCUAACCAUUCUUUCAUGCAUCAAGAGUUGCAUCAGUAGGGAAGCCUUUAAUAUAAACAGAUCUGUUUUUUACAUCAUUUUAAUACUCAUCAGUCACUUCAGGUAGGGAUUUGCUUGGAGACCUUCUGAUUUUAGUUUUAUCUUCACUGAUUUCCAUGACUUCUGCCUUGGAUUUGCUCAAUGCUUCCACAAUUACGUUAAAGUCUGUUGUUAGACGGUUCAACCUGUUGAAUUUUAUCAUUAUCUCCAAAGAUACCCAGCCUUCAUCCAGUUUUAUCUUUUCCUUUAAAAACUUGUCCCGUGGCAACCUGAGGUCUCCAAGAUAAUACUCAAUUUGAUGACAGAUUUUGGCCUCCAGGGCAGCCAUCUUUUCAUUAUCACCAUUUUCAGCAUUGUGACUAUAGAGAUGGACACAAGCCUUCGGUGAGACUACAACAUGGUGGAGGUAAAAAACCGAAAGGACGCAAUGAGGAUGGGGGCAGCCACAGUCCCGUCUCAAAGUGACCGCUGAACUGCCUGGGCAGCAGCCACGUGCGGGGAACCCCAGGCUGCCGCAUUUCUCGUGGGGGCAGCCUGGCCACCGCCCGCUCCCGUUCCG